CGCGUAGGCGGCGGACCUUGUCGAGUGUGAAAGCCCCGGGCUCAACCUGGGAGGUGCGCUCGAGACGGGUUUGCUGGAGUUCGGGAGAGGAGAGUGGAAUUCCCAGUGUAGAGGUGAAAUUCGUAGAUAUUGGGAAGAACACCGGUGGCGAAGGCGGCUCUCUGGACCGAGACUGACGCUGAGGCGCGAAAGCGUGGGGAGCAAACAGGAUUAGAUACCCUGGUAGUCCACGCUGUAAACGAUGUGUGCUAGACGUUGGGGAGCGUAGCUCUUCGGUGUCGCCGCAAACGCUUUAAGCACACCGCCUGGGGAGUACGGCCGCAAAGGUUAAA
rnacentral:rRNA from 1 species